CACCUUGAUGAUACUGGACUGAACCUCUAAACCUGUUGACCUGGAGAACUGGCUGGUCAAAGGUGUUUGGUCCUGGCUCCACCGCUGGCAGUUGCUUGCUUUGUCCUCUCGGAGUCUCAUGCCGUGUGGUGUCUCCCAGAACUCUGGGUGUAUGACCAUCCUGAAACCGGAUGAGAUCAUGAAGAACUGGACACUAUCAUAUGCAUGUCCUUGGGGCAUUGCCACACCAUGUGGUCAUCUACAAAGUUCAUAAAGAACAACUGCACAAUUGAGUUUCAAAUUUUUUUAAUUAAUUAUUAAUAAGUCGCAAGAAAUCUCAUGCUUUACACAGGUAUUCAGUUUUGUGUCUGGUCACAUUGUAAGCUAUCCUCAGCUGCUUGUGAUCUACAAGCCACAGCUGGGACACGCCCAUCAGCCUUGCUGGGGGGGCGGGGGGCCUUUAUCUGCUCCUCACACACGGGAGGGUGUCCUACCAGACAUCACAAAGCACGAUUUUGAAAACAAAACCACCGUGUACUUCAAGAUGGCCGAUGCAGCGCUUUAAGCCCUGUCAACAGUCUGAACACAAGACCGCUCCCCCACGCUCCACAGAGGCAAGAGGCCAGUGAAGAUACUUAGAGCAAAGAUUAUUUGGAAUUUUUCUUGUUUCGUGUGUGUGUGUGUGUGUGUGUGUGUGUGAUAUUAUGUAUGUGCCUUACAUGUGUACAGUAGCCUGUGGAAGUCAGAAGGGUUUGUGUGCCCUGGAACAGAGUCACAGAUAGUUGUGAGCCACCAUGUAGGUGCUGAGAACUGAAUUCAGUUCCUCCGGAAGAGCAGGAAAUGCUCUUAACUAUUGCGCCAUCUCUCCAGACCCGGGUUUCUUUAUAUUUAUAAGGGCAUAGGUGUCUUCAUGCAGGGACAACAACUGUUCUGAUGACUUGACAGAUCUCUGUCAUGAUCCCCAGGACAGCCCUGCAGGCAAAAAGCUAUUCCAGGCUCCCAUUGCACAGACAGGCACGGUGAGGGGUGGGGUGGGUGAAUACUUGCCAGCAUAACCGACAGGGAUUUGUAGGGCUUAGGGGUGUAGCUCAGUUAUCAGAGAGCUUGCCUGGCAGCUUGGAAGCCCUGGGUUCCAUCCCUGAUGUCACACAGCCCGGGCAUGACGGGGUAUGCCCAUAAUCCCAUCAUGAGGAAGGGGAGGCAAGAGAAUCGGAAGUUCAAGGUCAUAUUCAACUACAUAGUGACUUCCAGGCCAACCUGGAUUAUCACAUGAGACCCUCUCUCUAGCUAAUUAAACAUAAUUAAAGGGGAAAUGUCUCAUCCUCAGGCUGAGAUGAACUUCUACCCUACCCUCGAUGUCCAGACAGCCAUGAAGCCCCCAGCACAUACCAUGAUGGUUCUCCUUACCUUUCUGCCCUAGCUUGGAAACUUCUGCCCACAUAUUGCCCUUCUCCCUGGCUCCACUGACAACAAACUCACCUUGUCCUCUUCUUUCUUUCUCUACGCCCUGCCCCACAACCUUGAAGGACCCUGGCCACUCCUCUGACUGAUAGAGACAGUCAGGGAAGGUGACCUGCUAGAGCUGGCCCAGUAGGAGGAUAUACACAGCCCUGGGGCCUGUGAACAGAGAAUUCUUUCGAGAAUCCUAGAGCCCAAAGGUGGGGUCAGAGACGGAAAGUGGGCUUGCGCCAUGGACUAGCUGGGUCUUGGCCCCGUGCAGUCAACAAAGAAUAAAAACAUUCUCCCGGCCUCACGUGGCAAGGACUCAUGCCAGGCUCUGAGGACUCCACCAGCCUGGAGCCCAGCUGCCUUUCCUCAUCUCUGUCAGGUCUACAGGGACCCUAAGGGGUUUUCCAGCCCCACACCAUCUUUACAGCUUCUGCCUCCUGCCUGCAGUCAAGGCUAGGCCAAGUUCCAUUCUUCACCCGCAGGAGCAAUCUUGAGUAAAACAUCUUAGAAUGUACUGCCUGACAGUCACCUGACACUCUGGAAAGUCCCAGGUAGAGUUCAAAUGCGUGUCAUGCUUGCUAGCCAAUAGAUUUAAAGGUCAAGAUGCUUAGCCAAUAAGCUUGAACUGUAACCUUGCUGAUGUAACCUGUGCCCCUAAAAAGUAUAAAAACUGCUUGUAGUAGCCAUUCGGGGUCGCCUUCUCAUCACUCACCUUGAAGGACUGAUUGAGGUUGACCCUGAUGCGCUGGAAAAUAAACCUCUUGCUUUUGCAUCAA